AUUGAACGCUAGCGGGAUGGCUUACACAUGAAAGUCGAACGGAGUGGCGAACGGGUGAGUAAUGUAUCGGAACGUGCCCAGUAGCGGGGGAUAACUACGCGAAAGCGUAGCUAAUACCGCAUACUAUUGGAGCGGCCGAUAUCGGAUUAGCUAGUUGGUGGGGUAAGGGCUCACCACGGCGACGAUCCGUAGCUGGUUUGGGAGGACGACCAGCAACACUGGAACUGAGACCCGGCCCAGACGCCUACGGGAGGCAGCAUUGGGGAAUUUGGGACAAUGGGGGAAACCCUGAUCCAGCCAUCCCGCGUGGGCGAGGAAGGCCGUCGGGUUGUAAAGCACUGUUGGCAGGAAAGCGGUACCUGCAGAAUAAGCGCCGGCUAACUACGUGCCAGCAGCCGCGGUAAUUC
rnacentral:rRNA from 1 species